rnacentral:rRNA from 1 species
AGAGUUUGAUCCUGGCUCAGGAUGAACGCUAGCGGCAGGCUUAACACAUGCAAGUCGAGGGGCAGCGCGGGGCGGCAACGUCCUGGCGGCGACCGGCGGAAGGGUGCGUAACGCGUGAGCGACAUGCCCGUUGCCCGGGGACAACCGGUGGAAACGCCGACUAAUCCCCGAUGUGAUACGAUGCCUCAUGGCAUGGUAUUGAAAGUUACGGCGGCGACGGAUUGGCUCGCGUCCGAUUAGCUGGUUGGCGGGGUAACGGCCCACCAAGGCUACGAUCGGUAGGGGUUCUGAGAGGAAGGUCCCCCACAAUGGAACUGAGACACGGUCCAUACUCCUACGGGAGGCAGCAGUGAGGAAUAUUGGUCAAUGGGCGGAAGCCUGAACCAGCCAUGCCGCGUGCGGGAAGGAGGCCCUAUGGGCUGUGAACCGCUUUUGCCUGGGGGCAAUAAGGGCGCCGUGCGCGCCCGAUGAGAGUACCAGGCGAAUAAGCAUCGGCUAACUCCGUGCCAGCAGCCGCGGUAAUACGGGGGAUGCGAGCGUUAUCCGGAUUCAUUGGGUUUAAAGGGUGCGUAGGCUGUGCGUCAAGUCGGGGGUGAAAUUCCGGUGCUCAACACCGGGGCUGCCCUUGAUACUGUCGCGCUGGAGUGCGGAUGCCGCCGGAGGAAUGAGUGGUGUAGCGGUGAAAUGCUUAGAUAUCACUCAGAACACCGAUUGCGAAGGCAUCUGGCGAAUCCGUAACUGACGCUGAGGCACGAAAGCGUGGGGAUAGAACAGGAUUAGAUACCCUGGUAUUCCACGCCGUAAACGAUGAUGGCUAACCGCCGGCGGCAUACAGUCGGUGGCCAAGCGAAAGCGAUAAGCCAUCCACCUGGGGAGUACGUCGGCAACGAUGAAACUCAAAGGAAUUGACGGGGGCCCGCACAAGCGGAGGAACAUGUG